rnacentral:lncRNA from 1 species
UACAGUUUCACAGUUGUCCGCUCCUUGCCUCACUUCGAUUAUUCCUUUUCUCCCCUGGUUUCCCAUCGGACUAGUCGGGAGUUGGUAGAUGUUGUACAUACAGGGCUGCGAUCCCUCCCGGAGUGAGAAGUAGUGGCUCUGCCAUUUCACCUGUGUUACCUUGUCCAGAGGCAAAUGUCAGCCUGGAGGGGGAAGAAUGCAGAUCCAUAUUAACCCUUGCAAAACUCAGUUGAUCAGCAGGGAGCAGAAACAUGGAGAACACUUUUAACUGAUCAGGCAUUCCUCUGCUGAGGGCUGUGUUGUCAAGGAGUGGCCUGAGCAGUUUGCACAAAACAGUUUGCUUCAAAUUCCCGGCCUUCGCUCUACCUGAUGUGCCCGUGAGAGACAGCAGGAGCAGCUUUUCUCUUAGUCUGUGGGACUCCAGCUCUCAGUGGAUUGGGAGUCCAGGAGAAGAGGUGCAUGAGCUGAUGCAGCUGCUUCAAGAUUUGGGAUGGUACAAGGAACCGGUGUGGUGUUAUGCAAUAUGGGACUGAUCCUCCUCCACGCUAUUCCCUGGUGGACUGGAUUUGACCUGAACGCUAGAGUGUCUCGGUGCUUCCAACCAGCUUCAAUCACGUGAUGCCCACGCCAGCUUUCCUGGAAGGCAGUCUGAUCUGGCGGGAACUGCCUGACACAUCACCAUCAAUGCAUAAUAACCUUUAUUUAAAAAAAAGGAAAAACAACUUUCUGCACACGAU